GUAGGUAUAGCUCAGUGGCAGAGCACGUGCUUAGCAUAAAUGAGGUCCUGGAUUCAAUCCCCAGUAACUCCA
rnacentral:tRNA from 1 species